GGUGAAGCUGGUCAAGGUGGCGUCCCGUUUAUUGUUGUUAAUUUGUAGUAAAUGUUAAUUUGUGGUCCUUCCUCCCUCCCUCGUGUGUACGGCUCCAAUUGGUUGUUACUGUAGUGUUAAGACAACUAUCAUAUUGCUGCCUCGCUGAUCGUGGUUAAUGAAGUUCCUCGUGUCAUUCGUCGAGGAAGGUGACGUGAAGAUGUAAGAUAUGGGCCACAAGACGAAGGUUUGUUUUGGUUAACGGGUCUCUUGCUGCACCACAUUGGAAACUUUCUGUUAUAACCUAAGGUACAGUACAGUGUAUAUCUUUGUGGUUUUAGUUUUUAUUAAGGACCUGGGAUCACCGUUUAAAAAUUCAAGUGAACCCUCACUUUACGCGGUCAAUUGAACCCACGGCGGCCCGCGUAAAGUGAACAACAUAACA